UACGUAGGGUGCGAGCGUUGUCCGGAAUCACUGGGCGUAAAGGGCGCGUAGGCGGCCUGAUAAGUAGGGGGUGAAAUCCUGCGGCUUAACCGCAGGGCUGCCUUCUAAACUGUCGGGCUCGAGCACAGUAGAGGCAGGUGGAAUUCCCGGUGUAGCGGUGGAAUGCGUAGAGAUCGGGAAGAACAUCAGUGGCGAAGGCGGCCUGCUGGGCUGUUGCUGACGCUGAGGCACGAAAGCUAGGGGAGCAAACAGG
rnacentral:rRNA from 1 species